rnacentral:rRNA from 1 species
UAGCGAAAUUCCUUGUCGGGUAAGUUCCGACCUGCACGAAUGGUGUAACCAUGGCCAUGCUGUCUCCACCCGAGACUCAGUGAAAUCGAAUUCGCCGUGAAGAUGCGGUGUACCCGCGGCUAGACGGAAAGACCCCGUGAACCUUUACUACAGCUUGGCACUGAACAUUGAACCUACAUGUGUAGGAUAGGUGGGAGGCUUUGAAGGCGUGACGCCAGUUGCGCUGGAGCCGUCCUUGAAAUACCACCCUUGUAUGUUUGAUGUUCUAACGCAGGGCCCUGAAUCGGGCUCGCGGACAGUGCCUGGUGGGUAGUUUGACUGGGGCGGUCUCCUCCCAAAGAGUAACGGAGGAGCACGAAGGUUGGCUAAUCCUGGUCGGACAUCAGGAGGUUAGUGCAAUGGCAUAAGCCAGCUUAACUGCGAGACGGACAGGUCGAGCAGGUACGAAAGUAGGUCAUAGUGAUCCGGUGGUUCUGAAUGGAAGGGCCAUCGCUCAACGGAUAAAAGGUACUCCGGGGAUAACAGGCUGAUACCGCCCAAGAGUUCAUAUCGACGGCGGUGUUUGGCACCUCGAUGUCGGCUCAUCACAUCCUGGGGCUGAAGUCGGUCCCAAGGGUAUGGCUGUUCGCCAUUUAAAGUGGUACGCGAGCUGGGUUCAGAACGUCGUGAGACAGUUCGGUCCCUAUCUGCCGUGGGCGUUGGAUGAUUGAAGGGAGUUGCUCCUAGUACGAGAGGACCGGAGUGAACGAACCUCUGGUGUUCGGGUUGUCACGCCAGUGGCACUGCCCGGUAGCUAAGUUCGGAAUCGAUAACCGCUGAAAGCAUCUAAGCGGGAAGCGAGCCCUGAGAUGAGUCAUCCCUGACCCCUUGAGGGUCCUAAAGGGCCGUUGGAGACCACAACGUUGAUAGGCGGGGUGUGUAAGUGCAGCGAUGCAUUGAGCUAACCCGUACUAAUUACCCGUGAGGCUUAACCAUACAACACCCAAGAAGUGUUCU